rnacentral:antisense_RNA from 1 species
CUUCAGCGAGCCCAGCCACAGGGGCCGGUCGGCGGGCCGGUCCUUGCCGUACGUGUUGAUGAGGGCGUUCGCCUC